GGGGGGUGUGGGGUUAUGGGGGGUGAUGGCGGAGUAAAAGGGCUGGAAGCCAACGGGGGCCAACGAGGAGCACAGAGCUGUGGGGUUAUAGGGCGGUUAUAGGGUCAGCUGGGGGGUUAUAGGGUCAGCAUUGGGGGUAUGGGGUCAGGGGGGUGUGGGGUUAUGGGGGGUGAUGGCGGAGUAAAAGGGCUGGAAGCCAACGGGGGCCAACGAGGAGCACAGAGCUGUGGGGUACAGGUAUGGGGUUAUGGGGUCAGCUGGGGGGUUAUGGGGAGUAAUGGGGUCAGGGGGGACAGUGGGGUUACUGGGGGGGACGGCAUAGUAAAAGGGCUGGAAGCCAACGGGGGCCAACGAGGAGCACAGAGCUGUGGGGUUAUGGGGCGGUUAUAGGGUCAGCUGGGGGGUUACGGGGUCAGCAGGGGGGUUAUGGGGUGGGUUAUGGGGUUAUG
ensembl:lncRNA